GAUGAACGCUAGCGGCAGGCCUAAUACAUGCAAGCCGAACGGCAAGUUGAGUAGCAAUACUUGACCUAGAGUGGCGUAAGGGUGCGUAACACGUAUGCAAUCUACCCGCAACAGGAGGAUAGCUCUACCGGAAAGGGGAAUUAAGCCUCCAUGGGAUCAUGGGGUGGCAUCACUCCAUGAUUAAACUACCAGGGGUUGUGGAUGAGCAUGCGCAUGAUUAGUUAGUUGGC
rnacentral:rRNA from 1 species